rnacentral:rRNA from 1 species
GAUGAACGCUGGCGGCGUGCCUAAUACAUGCAAGUCGAGCGAACGGACGAGAAGCUUGCUUCUCUGAUGUUAGCGGCGGACGGGUGAGUAACACGUGGAUAACCUACCUAUAAGACUGGGAUAACUUCGGGAAACCGGAGCUAAUACCGGAUAAUAUUUUGAACCGCAUGGUUCAAAAGUGAAAGACGGUCUUGCUGUCACUUAUAGAUGGAUCCGCGCUGCAUUAGCUAGUUGGUAAGGUAACGGCUUACCAAGGCAACGAUGCAUAGCCGACCUGAGAGGGUGAUCGGCCACACUGGAACUGAGACACGGUCCAGACUCCUACGGGAGGCAGCAGUAGGGAAUCUUCCGCAAUGGGCGAAAGCCUGACGGAGCAACGCCGCGUGAGUGAUGAAGGUCUUCGGAUCGUAAAACUCUGUUAUUAGGGAAGAACAUAUGUGUAAGUAACUGCGCACAUCUUGACGGUACCUAAUCAGAAAGCCACGGCUAACUACGUGCCAGCAGCCGCGGUAAUACGUAGGUGGCAAGCGUUAUCCGGAAUUAUUGGGCGUAAAGCGCGCGUANGCGGUUUUUUAGUCUGAUGUGAAAGCCCACGGCUCAACCGUGGAGGGUCAUUGGAAACUGGAAAACUUGAGUGCAGAAGAGGAAAGUGGAAUUCCAUGUGUAGCGGUGAAAUGCGCAGAGAUAUGGAGGAACACCAGUGGCGAAGGCGACUUUCUGGUCUGUAACUGACGCUGAUGUGCGAAAGCGUGGGGAUCAAACAGGAUUAGAUACCCUGGUAGUCCACGCCGUAAACGAUGAGUGCUAAGUGUUAGGGGGUUUCCGCCCCUUAGUGCUGCAGCUAACGCAUUAAGCACUCCGCCUGGGGAGUACGACCGCAAGGUUGAAACUCAAAGGAAUUGACGGGGACCCGCACAAGCGGUGGAGCAUGUGGUUUAAUUCGAAGCAACGCGAAGAACCUUACCAAAUCUUGACAUCCUUUGACAACUCUAGAGAUAGAGCCUUCCCCUUCGGGGGACAAAGUGACAGGUGGUGCAUGGUUGUCGUCAGCUCGUGUCGUGAGAUGUUGGGUUAAGUCCCGCAACGAGCGCAACCCUUAAGCUUAGUUGCCAUCAUUAAGUUGGGCACUCUAAGUUGACUGCCGGUGACAAACCGGAGGAAGGUGGGGAUGACGUCAAAUCAUCAUGCCCCUUAUGAUUUGGGCUACACACGUGCUACAAUGGACAAUACAAAGGGCAGCGAAACCGCGAGGUCAAGCAAAUCCCAUAAAGUUGUUCUCAGUUCGGAUUGUAGUCUGCAACUCGACUACAUGAAGCUGGAAUCGCUAGUAAUCGUAGAUCAGCAUGCUACGGUGAAUACGUUCCCGGGUCU